UACGGGGGGAGCAAGCGUUGUUCGGAUUUACUGGGCGUAAAGGGCGCGUAGGCGGCCUCUCUUGUCGCGUGUGAAGCCCCGGGCUCAACCUGGGAACGGCGCGCGAGACGGGGGGGCUGGAGUUCGGGAGAGGAGCGUGGAAUUCCCAGUGUAGAGGUGAAAUUCGUAGAUAUCUGGAGGAACACCGGUGGCGAAGGCGGCGUCCUGGACCAACACUGACACUGAUGAGCGAAAGCCAGGGGAGCAAACGGG
rnacentral:rRNA from 1 species